AAUAUUACCACCAACUAGGGACAACGAAGACUUUGCAGUGGAUGAUCCAAGUCCAAUAAAUAGUAAAAUUUAAGUUAAUAAUUCGUCAAUACCUUAUGAUCUUAACAAUAUUCAAUCCGAGCAUUCUGAAAUUACAUUAAAUGACUCAUUUCUGGCCGAUUUAUGGAACUUGUCAACAGGACCAACUCAAAUUACACUAAACUUGCAGCUCCUCCAGAAGCUAAGCCAAAACUAAUUCAAAAUCCAAGACAAAUAUCAUUAGAAUGUAAUGGAAGAUUUGAUGGACGAGCUACCUUAAUGUAUGGAUGUCCACUAACGGUACCACCAAA